rnacentral:lncRNA from 1 species
UCUUCACUCCCCUCUUCCUUAACCCCUAACCAGUCUCCCUUGAAUCUUACUGAACCACCCCUAAUUUUAAAUCAAAGUUGGUCGGAAACCCUAGACCCUUGAUUCUCAGGGGUUCAUGGAUUUCGGACUAUAAUAAGUCCUUGAUCUUGUGUUUUCUCAGGGAAACACGUAAUUAAGGAUAGUUAUAGUCAGGUUUCGGAUUGCAUGCUUUCUCUUAAGCUAAGUCUUCUUAAUUUAGUUUCAGUUCUUACUUCGUCAUUUUUCAUGUUGUAUGUUUUUACCUAUUUAAUUUCAAACUAUAAAAUCAUCGUUGAUUAUUUGCUUUAGUUUAAUUCUUUAUUUACUAGUUAGUUUGCUUAAAAUCUUUGUUUGAGUUUUAAAUUUCUUUGGAUAAUAUGAUUUUAUGCUUUGUUUUAUUUUUUGUUUCCUAAUUUUCUAUUUGAUUGAUAAUAGAUUAGCAGUAUUCUUUAAUUUUGAUUGCUUAAUAGUUAAUUUUUAAUUAUGCAUGUUUAUUUGUUCUUGGAAUGAAUUAUUCUUACGGAAAAAUUGAAAUCAUGUCUUUCGACUGCAUAAUCUAAAUGUUCAGAUUCAUUUGAAUUGUUUGCUUAAUUUCUGAGUGUUUCUGAAACUAGUGGAGUCCUCUGGAUUCAAUUUCUAUCAUCUCUUGUUUCCUUUUCUAGUUUAGGACCAAAUUAGAAAUAGAGAUACCUAUUGAAUUUGACCCAUAAUUCCUGUAUGGUUCUGGGGUAAAAACAGGGUUAGUCAGGCGUAAUUUGGGUAGUUUAAGCAAGAGGGAAUCUUUCAUAACAGAAAUGGAAGCUUCUAGGGAAGGGUUAUAGAGUAUUUAAGAACCUUUGAUGGUUUAACUUGGGUAAAAAGUCAGAAAUAUAGGGUUACCUGAGCAAAAAACAAAAAAUAAAAGAGGGACCAAUGGGUAAAGUAGAAAAUCUGAGGGUUUCCCUAAGUGUGAGCCUAUAUAAACUAGUAUUCUUGCUUUUUAAAGAAGAAAAAAUCAGGAGAGAGCUAAAAAAUUCAGGAAACAAAGGCUGCUAAAUUUCACUCUUUUCAAGUAGUUUUUUUCAGAUAAUUAGUUUUGUACUAUAGAAAAUUAAAAAAAAAUGGACACGGCUCCACUGUUUUAGUGAUUUCCUGUUCUCUUGAUUUACAAAAAUUCCUGAAGUGCUUCGAGUUUCGUUUUCUUGGGUUUUGAAGAUUGGGAGUCAACUUUUGAGUAUAAUUUUGUUACUGGUUGAGUUUGGAGCUUAUUCCUACUGCUGCUGAUUGCUGGAUUAUUAACUUUUGAGCCCUCCUAACUACAAAUUUUUCCUUGUUAUUUGUUGUACCAGGUAUUUUCUGAUUAUAAAUGCAAAUCUGGAAGUUGUAAUUGCAUGAAUCUUCAUGAAUACAUGAUCAAUUUAGUUUUAAUGUCAAUUACCUACUUGGAAUUUUUGAAAUCAGCAGUAUGGUGACGGUGUCCAGAUUGAUUAGUUUAUUUUACAUUAGUAGUGUUUCAGGAAUGUGCUUUACUCUUCUAUCUUGUUAGUAGCAUCGGAUUUGGUCUGUGGAUAUGUAACUCCACCAAUUUGAAACAUUUGUAUAUAAGGACCGGUAAUCAUAUUAUGCAUUGUUCGAUUUUGAGACUAUUUAUCCAUAGCAGGGUAUGAGUUUGACUGGUUGCAUAUAUUGUUGAAGGCUUAGAGAACUUAUUAGUCGUCAGGUUUGAAUGGUCGAACAUUUGAAAGAAUCAACAUGUACGUGAAAGUAAGGAGAACUUGAGAAUUCUAUGUUUCCUUUAUAUGCACAUGGGAUCAGGAAAUUACUAAUUUUAGUUAUAUACAUGUCUGUACAAACAGGGACUAGAAAUUGACAUCAAUGUGUAGUGCAAGAUACAUUCUGUA